rnacentral:rRNA from 2 species
UCCGGUGGCGAUGCGGUUAGGGGACACACCCGUUCCCAUCCCGAACACGAUGGUUAAGACCUAAUCGGCCGAUGGUACUGCACUGGAGACGGUGUGGGAGAGCAGGUGGCUGCCGGAU